rnacentral:rRNA from 1 species
GAUGAACGCUGACAGAAUGCUUAACACAUGCAAGUCAACUUGAACUUCGGUUUGGGUGGCGGACGGGUGAGUAACGCGUAAAGAACUUGCCUCACAGAUAGGGACAACAUUUGGAAACGAAUGCUAAUACCUGAUAUUAUGAUUUUAGGGCAUCCUAGAAUUAUGAAAGCUAUAUGCGCUGUGAGAGAGCUUUGCGUCCCAUUAGCUAGUUGGAGAGGUAACGGCUCACCAAGGCGAUGAUGGGUAGCCGGCCUGAGAGGGUGAUCGGCCACAAGGGGACUGAGACACGGCCCUUACUCCUACGGGAGGCAGCAGUGGGGAAUAUUGGACAAUGGACCAAGAGUCUGAUCCAGCAAUUCUGUGUGCACGAUGAAGUUUUUCGGAAUGUAAAGUGCUUUCAGUUGGGAAGAAAAAAAUGACGGUACCAACAGAAGAAGUGACGGCUAAAUACGUGCCAGCAGCCGCGGUAAUACGUAUGUCACAAGCGUUAUCCGGAUUUAUUGGGCGUAAAGCGCGUCUAGGUGGUUAUGUAAGUCUGAUGUGAAAAUGCAGGGCUCAACUCUGUAUUGCGUUGGAAACUGUGUAACUAGAGUACUGGAGAGGUAAGCGGAACUACAAGUGUAGAGGUGAAAUUCGUAGAUAUUUGUAGGAAUGCCGAUGGGGGAAGCCAGCUUACUGGACAGAUACUGACGCUGAAGCGCGAAAGCGUGGGUAGCAAAACAGG